AUACUUACCUGGAAGGGGAAACAUCAUUAUCACGAAGGUGUUUUUCCCAAGGUGAGGCUUAUCAGUUGCACUCUGGAUGUGCUGACUCCUGUGAUUUCCCCAAAUAUGGGAAACUCAACUGCAUCAUUUGUGGUGGGGGGGGACUGUGUUCAUGCUUUCCCCUG